rnacentral:rRNA from 1 species
UACGAAGGGGGCUAGCGUUGUUCGGAAUUACUGGGCGUAAAGCGCACGUAGGCGGGUUGUUAAGUCAGGGGUGAAAUCCUGGAGCUCAACUCCAGAACUGCCUUUGAUACUGGCAACCUAGAGACUGGAAGAGGUUAGUGGAAUUCCCAGUGUAGAGGUGAAAUUCGUAGAUAUUCGCAAGAACACCAGUGGCGAAGGCGGCUCACUGGCCCGAUACUGACGCUGAGGCACGAAAGCGUGGGGAGCAAACAGG